CAUGCAAGUCGAACGGUUAAAGCAUCUUCGGAUGUGUAUAAAGUGGCGAACGGCUGAGUAACACGUGGGCAACCUGCCCUUUGCACUGGGAUAGCCUCGGGAAACCGAGGUUAAUACCGGAUACUCCAUAUUUGUCGCAUGGCGAAUAUGGGAAAGCUCCGGCGGCAAAGGAUGGGCCCGCGGCCUGUUAGCUAGUUGGUGGGGUAGUGGCCUACCAAGGCAAUGAUGGGUAGCCGGGUUGAGAGACCGACCGGCCAGAUUGGGACUGAGACACGGCCCAGACUCCUACGGGAGGCAGCAGUGGGGAAUCUUGCACAAUGGGCGAAAGCCUGAUGCAGCGACGCCGCGUGCGGGAUGAAGGCCUUCGGGUUGUAAACCGCUUUCAGCAGGGACGAGGCCGCAAGGUGACGGUACCUGCAGAAGAAGCCCCGGCUAACUACGUGCCAGCAGCCGCGGUAAUACGUAGGGGGCAAGCGUUAUCCGGAUUCAUUGGGCGUAAAGCGCGCGUAGGCGGUCUGUUAGGUCAGGAGUUAAAUCUGGGGGCUCAACCCCUAUCCGCUCCUGAUACCGGCAGGCUUGAGUCUGGUAGGGGAAGAUGGAAUUCCAAGUGUAGCGGUGAAAUGCGCAGAUAUUUGGAAGAACACCGGUGGCGAAGGCGGUCUUCUGGGCCAUGACUGACGCUGAGGCGCGAAAGCUAGGGGAGCGAACAGGAUUAGAUACCCUGGUAGUCCUAGCUGUAAACGAUGGACACUAGGUGUGGGGAGAUUAUACUUUCCGUGCCGCAGCUAACGCAUUAAGUGUCCCGCCUGGGGAGUACGGUCGCAAGACUAAAA
rnacentral:rRNA from 1 species